UACCAGACUCCUACGGGAGGCAGCAGUGGGGGAUAUUGCACAAUGGGGGAAACCCUGAUGCAGCGACGCCGCGUGGGCGAAGAAGUAUUUCGGUAUGUAAAGCCCUAUCAGCAGGGAAGAAGAUGACGGUACCUGACCAAGAAGCUCCGGCUAAAUACGUGCCAGCAGCCGCGGUAAUACGUAUGGUGCAAGCGUUAUCCGGAUUUACUGGGCGUAAAGGGAGCGCAGGCGGCGCGCCAAGUCUGAUGUGAAACCCCGGGGCUCAACCCCGGGCAUGCAUUGGAAACUGGCGGGCUGGAGUGCCGGAGAGGUAAGCGGAAUUCCUAGUGUAGCGGUGAAAUGCGUAGAUAUUAGGAGGAACACCAGUGGCGAAGGCGGCUUACUGGACGGCAACUGACGCUGAGGCUCGAAAGCGUGGGGAGCAAACAGGAUUAGAUACCCGAGUA
rnacentral:rRNA from 1 species